rnacentral:rRNA from 1 species
UACGAAGGGGGCUAGCGUUGUUCGGAAUCACUGGGCGUAAAGCGCGCGUAGGCGGUCAUACAAGUCAGAGGUGAAAUGCCGGGGCUCAACCCCGGAACUGCCUUUGAAACUGUAUGACUGGAAUCUUGGAGGGGGUAGUGGAAUUCCUAGUGUAGAGGUGAAAUUCGUAGAUACUAGGAGGAACACCGGUGGCGAAGGCGGCUACCUGGACAAGUAUUGACGCUGAGGCGCGAAAGCGUGGGGAGCAAACAGG